rnacentral:rRNA from 1 species
AGGAGGAAUUGUUGAUUGUCAGUGGCGAACGGGUGAGUAACACGUAGGUAAUCUACCUUAAGGUGGGGAAUAGCUGUUCGAAAGGGCAGGUAAUACCGCAUAAGAUCGCGAGAUGAAAGGUCGAGAGAUCGCCAUAAGAUGAGCCUGCGGCCGAUUAGCUAGUUGGUGAGGUAACGGCCCACCAAGGCGAAGAUCGGUAGCUGGUCUGAGAGGACGAUCAGCCACACUGGAACUGAUACACGGUCCAGACUCCUACGGGGGGCAGCAGGGAGGAAUAUUGCACAACGGGGGGAACCCAGGUGCAGCAACGCCGCGUGAGUGAAGAAGGCCUUCGGGUCGUAAAACUCUUUUCUGAGGGAUGAGUAAGGACAGUACCUCAGGAAUAAGUCUCGGCUAAUUACGUGCCAGCAGCCGCGGUAAGACGUAAGAGGCGAGCGUUAUCCGGAUUUACUGGGCGUAAAGGGCAAGUAGGCGGUAGAGCAAGUCAGUUGUGACAGAUCCCGGCUUAACUGGGAGAGGACGAUUGAGACUGUUUAACUAGAGGACAGGAGAGGGAAGCGGAAUUCCUUGUGUAGCGGUGGAAUGCUCAGAUACAAGGAGGAACACCAGUGGCGAAGGCGGCUUUCUGGCCUGGUCCUGACGCUGAAGAGCGAAAGCUAGGGGAGCAAACGGGCUUAGAUACCCCGGUAGUCCUAGCUGUAAACGUUGGGUACUAGGUAUUGGGGGUGAGAACAUCCUCAGUGCCGAAGCGAGCGCGUUAAGUACCCCGCCUGGGGACUACGGCCGCAAGGUUAAAACUCAAAGGAAUUGACGG